rnacentral:rRNA from 1 species
GAUGAACGCUGGCGGCGUGCCUAAUACAUGCAAGUCGAGCGAACAGACGAGGAGCUUGCUCCUCUGACGUUAGCGGCGGACGGGUGAGUAACACGUGGAUAACCUACCUAUAAGACUGGGAUAACUUCGGGAAACCGGAGCUAAUACCGGAUAAUAUAUUGAACCGCAUGGUUCAAUAGUGAAAGACGGUUUUGCUGUCACUUAUAGAUGGAUCCGCGCCGCAUUAGCUAGUUGGUAAGGUAACGGCUUACCAAGGCAACGAUGCGUAGCCGACCUGAGAGGUGGAUCGCCCCCACUGGACCUGGGACACGGUCCAGACUCCUACGGGAGGCAGCAGUAGGGAAUCUUCCGCAAUGGGCGAAAGCCUGACGGAGCAACGCCGCGUGAGUGAUGAAGGUCUUCGGAUCUUAAAACUCUGUUAUUAGGGAAGAACAAAUGUGUAAGUAACUAUGCACGUCUUGACGGUACCUAAUCAGAAAGCCACGGCUAACUACGUG